rnacentral:rRNA from 1 species
UAGGGAAUCUUCCGCAAUGGACGCAAGUCUGACGGAGCAACGCCGCGUGAGUGAAGAAGGAUUUCGGUUCGUAAAACUCUGUUGUUAGAGAAGAACAGCGCAUAGAGUAACUGUUAUGCGUGUGACGGUAUCUAACCAGAAAGCCGCGGCUAACUACGUGCCAGCAGCCGCGGUAAUACGUAGGUGGCAAGCGUUGUCCGGAUUUAUUGGGCGUAAAGCGAGCGCAGGCGGUCAAUUAAGUCUGAUGUGAAAGCCCCCGGCUCAACCGGGGAGGGUCAUUGUGAACUGGUUGACUUGAGUGCAGAAGAGGAGAGGGGAAUUCCAUGUGUAGCGGUGAAAUGCGUAGAUAUAUGGAGGAACACCAGUGGCGAAGGCGACUCUCUGGUCUGUAACUGACGCUGAGGCUCGAAAGCGUGGGUAGCAAACAGG